rnacentral:tRNA from 1 species
GCCUGGGUGGCUCAGUCAGUUAAGCGUCUGACUAAAGCUCAGGUCACGAUCUCACAGUUCAUGGGUUCAAGCCCCACAUCAGGCC